rnacentral:rRNA from 1 species
CAGUAGCCGCGGGAAUACGAGGGGGGCAAGCGUUGUUCGGAAUUAUUGGGCGUAAAGGGUGCGUAGGCGGUUUGGCAAGUUGGAUGUGAAAGCCCUGGGCUCAACCUGGGAACUGCAUCCAAAACUGGUGAGCUAGAGUACGGUAGAGGGUAGUGGAAUUUCCUGUGUAGCGGUGAAAUGCGUAGAUAUAGGAAGGAACACCAGUGGCGAAGGCGACUACCUGGACUGAUACUGACACUGAGGUGCGAAAGCGUGGGGAGCAAACAGGAUUAGAUACCCCCGUAGUCCCUGUCUCUUAUAC